AUGGACAGAAGUUCUUCGGAAGAGGGAGCAGGGAAAAGCACUUAUAAUGGAUUCCAUUAUGAAAUAUCACUAAGGCUAGGCUGCUGGGAAGCCACUGUCCUCUCUUCUGAACUGUGCCAGAACUGCCAAGGCUCUUAGAGAAGUCUUCACAGGUGCAAACAGAGGAUAAAUCUUCCUACUCAUGUGAGCCAAUUAAAGACCUCAUGUACCUCUUCAAAAAGUAAAUAAGUAAAGCCUUUGCUUUUUCCCCAAGAAGAGUGUUGCACUUUAUGGCAGACAUGUUUUUCCUACCUCUUCCAAUUCUCUCAGAAAGAUGCUGUUGGCACGAAAACUUCCUGGUGAGUAAAUAAGAGCUUUCUGCACCCCCAUGUUUAUUGCAGCUCAAUUCACAAUAGCUAAGACAUGGAAUUAGCCUAAAUGCAUAUCAACCAAAGACUAGAUAAAAACUAUGGGAUAUGUGCACUAUGGGGUACUACACAGUGGUAAAAAUGAAAUCUGGUCAUUUGCAUCAAAAUGGAAGAAUACUUAGUGAUGUAAGCCAGUCCUGAUGGGACAAAUAGCAUAUGUUCUCACUGAUUUAUGAGAAGUAAUAGAGCACCUAAAAUGAAAUCUGUAUAAGUGAAAUUGACACUUAAAAAAGAAGCUGCCCUUAUCUUGACUUAUAAGGAAUAGUUUUUUGUUUGUUUUAUCAUUUUUUUCUUCAUACUAUUUGUUGAACUCUUUUCAUACUAUUUAUUGAAUUUAAUAUAUGUGUAUAAAUUCAAUUAAGGUUGGAUCUCUUAAAAAAUAGGAGUGGGAAGCAGUCCACAUAGCAGACCCAUAGAAUGACAAUCACUUUAAGUAACACUCUGACUUCAGAAUCAGCCCUUAAGUCAUCCUGGUCUAGCUGAAAACUCAUGAACAUUUCUGGCAUGGAAAGCCAAGACGCUGUGGCAAAAAUAUUCUACAUAAAGGAUAUCUGUGAGUGAGACCCCAGCAAAAGUAAGUGGCCAUCAAAGAAGGAUGUACUUUUAAGGGAAGAGAGAACUUAGGAUUUGUAUACAGCCUUAUCUAAAUACUGACAGAAUUUUUGAUUUCGAGAGGCUUGCAUAGCCAAGGUAACUAAUGUCAAGAGCCUUGGGUGGUCACUGACAUACAUAAGAAUACUAACUCCCCAUGCAUGACCUCUACCUCAAUAAGUGUAUUAUGAGAGUUAACUGUAAAACUAAUUCUCAAACAGUUGUU
rnacentral:lncRNA from 1 species